UGUGGGUCCUGAACCAGCGCAACCUUCAUGGCUUGUUGCGCAGAAUCUGCUUACUACUCUUGCUGUUGCACAAGAUUGGACUUCUAUUGCAGAAUCUUCUCAAUCACAGGACAAUAAUAACACGGAUGGUGCUAGGAACGAGCUUCCUGAGUCUGUUCGAGAGUUAAUAAACAAUAUGCAAGAUAUCGGUAGUCUUCUGGACCUUGAGAAUGUCAUUGAAGCAUCGUUGCAGGAAAUUGGUGCUG
rnacentral:misc_RNA from 1 species